rnacentral:tRNA from 1 species
GUUGCUAUAAUUUAAAAAAAAUACAGGUUUGUGGUACCUGAAAUGUAAAUUUUACUAACAACC